GACCCCCUCCCUGACCUGAGUGGCACCUGGUUGGGGAUGCUCAUCUCAUAUCAUCCAGGAACAAAGUGUCUCUUUGUUUAUCCCAGCUUGGUUUUAGGUUCAUGCCUGGUUCAUGGACCCAUGG